rnacentral:rRNA from 1 species
UGGGUAACCUGCCUCAAAGAGGGGAAUAGCCUCCCGAAAGGGAGAUUAAUACCGCAUAAUAUGUUUAAGUCGCAUGACUUUAACAUCAAAGGAUUUUUCUUUUAGAAAUUCCACUUUGAGAUGGACCCGCGGCGCAUUAGCUUGUUGGCGGGGUAACGCCCACAAGGCGACGAUCCAUAGCUGGUCUGAGAGGACGAUCAGCCACACUGGGACUGAGACACGGCCCAGACUCCUAGGGAG